rnacentral:rRNA from 1 species
AUGCUUUACACAUGCAAGUCGAACGGCAGCGCGGACUUCGGUCUGGCGGCGAGUGGCGAACGGGUGAGUAAUAUAUCGGAACGUACCCAGUAGCGGGGGAUAACUACUCGAAAGAGUAGCUAAUACCGCAUACGCCCUACGGGGGAAAGGGGGGGAUCGCAAGACCUCUCACUAUUGGAGCGGCCGAUAUCGGAUUAGCUAGUUGGUGGGGUAAAGGCCUACCAAGGCGACGAUCCGUAGCUGGUUUGAGAGGACGACCAGCCACACUGGGACUGAGACACGGCCCAGACUCCUACGGGAGGCAGCAGUGGGGAAUUUUGGACAAUGGGGGAAACCCUGAUCCAGCCAUCCCGCGUGUGCGAUGAAGGCCUUCGGGUUGUAAAGCACUUUUGGCAGGAAAGAAAUCGCACGGGUUAAUACCUUGUGUGGAUGACGGUACCUGCAGAAUAAGCACCG